AACGUAGGUUCCGAGCGUUAUCCGGAUUUACUGGGCGUAAAGCGCGUUCAGGCGGUUUGGCAAGUCGGGCAUGAAAUCUCUCGGCUCAACCGGGAGAGGUUGUCCGAUACUGCUGGACUUGAGGGCAGUAGAGGGUGGUGGAAUUCCGGGUGUAGUGGUGAAAUGCGUAGAUAUUGGGAGGAACACCAGUGGCGAAGGCGGCUCACUGGUCCGGUACUGACGCUGAGGUGCGAAAGCGUGGGGAGCAAACAGG
rnacentral:rRNA from 1 species